UACGAAGGGGGCUAGCGUUGCUCGGAAUCACUGGGCGUAAAGCGCACGUAGGCGGCUUUCUAAGUCAGGGGUGAAAUCCUGGAGCUCAACUCCAGAACUGCCUUCGAUACUGGAAGACUUGAGUCCGGGAGAGGCGAGUGGAACUGCGAGUGUAGAGGUGAAAUUCGUAGAUAUUCGCAAGAACACCAGUGGCGAAGGCGGCUCACUGGCCCGGUACUGACGCUGAGGUGCGAAAGCGUGGGGAG
rnacentral:rRNA from 1 species